rnacentral:rRNA from 1 species
CGGUAAUUCCAGCUCCAAUAGCGUAUACUAAAGUUGUUGCAGUUAAAAAGCUCGUAGUUGGAUUUCUGCGGGGACGGAGCGGCCGGACGCAACUUGCGUCUCGAGCUAGCGCUUUCCCCGCAUCCUGCCGCGAACCGUGCUACCAUUAGUUUGGUGGCGCUGGGGAUCGGCUCGAUUACUUUGAGAAAAAUAGAGUGUUCAAAGCAGGCCACACGCCUUGAAUAAGUUAGCAUGGAAUAAUGACUAAGGACUUUGGUUCUUUUCGUUGGUGUUCGGGACUGAAGUAAUGAUUGAUAGGGACAGUUGGGGCGGUCCGUAUUCCAAAGCGAGAGGUGAAAUUCUUAGACCUUCGGAAGACGAACAGCUGCGAAAGCGUUCCGCAAGGAUGUUCCCUUUGAUCAAGAACGAAAGUUGGGGGAUCGAAGACGAUCAGAUACCGUCGUAGUCUCAACUAUAAACUAUACCAGCUAGGGAUCGGCCAACGUUUAAUUAUUCGACUUGGUCGGCACCUUAUGAGAAAUCAAAGCAUCUGGGUUCCGGGGGGAGUAUGGUCGCAAGGCUGAAACUUAAAGGAAUUGACGGAAGGGCACCAUUAGGCGUGGAGUUUGUGGCUUAAUUUGACUCAACACGGGAAAACUUACCAGGUCCAGACAUAGGAAGGAUUGACAGAUUGAUAGCUCUUUCUUGAUUCUGUGGGUGGUGGUGCAUGGCCGUUUUUAGUCGGUGAAGUGAUUUGUCUGCUUAAUUGCGUUAACGGACGAGACCCCAGCCUGCUAAAUAGCGCGGCCGAGCUUUGCUCGGUACGAGCUUCUUAGAGGGACCAUGAUGCGCGAUAGCACAAGGAAGUUUGGGGCAACAACAGGUCUGUGAUGCCCUUAGAUGUUCUGGGCCGCACACGGGCUACACUGGCGCCUGCAACGAGCAUAUCAGCUGGCCCGAGAGGGUCUUGGCUAAUCUUUGGAACCGGCGCCGUGCUUGGGAUUGACCAUUGCAAUUGUUGGUCAUGCAACGAGGAAUGCCUUGUAAACGCGAGUCAUCAGCUCGCAUUGAAUACGUCCCUGCUCUUUGUACACACCGCCC